rnacentral:lncRNA from 1 species
GCACAUGCGCAGAAUCAUCGUGGUGCACGGCUCUCCCUUUGCUUCUUCGGUUGCAGUCCUCUUGCUUCUUGCGCGUGCGUGUAGCGCUUUUGCAAAGCCGCGGAGGUGAAGUGAACUUAGAGGUUGUGGGGCCGAGGGGUCGUCUUAUAGCUACCAGCCCACAGGCAUUUAGUCUACGUUGGAGGUAAACAAAUACGGGUCCUGCUUAGGAGAAAAGAAAAACGUCUUACAGCCAGUGUCUAAACUCCAAACAACGGAAUGUAUCAAUGAGACCUUGUAUAUGGAUACACGUGCAUUUAAAACCGCCCUGCCGGCUUGUAGAGCUUUUGCCGUUCUCCAGCGCUUUACAGGGGUUAUCGCACUUAAGCCUCGGAACAACUUUACCAGAUGAGGACACCUGAGGUUCAGAUUAAGAAAUCUGCCCCAAAGUCUUAGAACUGGUAUUCUCCACUGGUUGAAUGCAAAUGGAAGCCAGAGGAAAAGGGAACCCUUGACACAGUUUUCAUAUAGAUUGGCCUCCAGGGCAGACAGCAGGAGUGGGGUUUAAUCUGGACUGAAUUGGAGGAAAGGAACUGGCACCAGAGUGGAGGCUGGAAGGAUGGUGGAACUGACACUGGGACAGAACACAGAAAACAGAAUCUAAUGCUAUUGCUCUGGCUAUAUCAAAUAAAAGUGUCAAGAGUGAGCAUCCUUGCCUUGUGCUGAAUCACAAAGGAAUACCUUUCAGUUUUUCUCCAUUGAUUAUGAUAGCAGUGGGCUUUUCACAGUGGGCUUUACUGUGUUGAGGUACCCUAAUGACAAGUUCACCCCAGUGUUUUCUGAGGAGUCUACCUGGAAAUGAGAACCAUCUGUCCUUCCUAUAGUAGUUCUUCUCAGAAUGCCGACUCUAUGCUAAUGGAGGAGGUCUGAUGGCCGGGAGGACAGGAAGAAGGAACCCACAAUGAAGCAAAAGUUGCGUUUAACUCUGUCCUCACCAUUCCUCUCCUGGACCUGUCCUAAACUGGAAGCUGGGGGAGGAUGGAGUGCUGGAAUGCUGCAGAAGUCUCAUGGGAGGGCGCCUGGUGUUCACCACAUGUGUACACUGUUGCACGACCAGAUGGAAAUUUGAAUGCUGGGGCUCAGUGGAACACCUGAAGGAAGCUGGUGAGGCAGAUGUCCCGCUAUGCCUUCCAAGUGUCAUGCAACCAGUUCAUGCCUGUCAGCAUCUCUGCCGGUGGACUCUGUGAGUCAGCAAAUCUACAGAGCAGAGAGCCACAAGUGGGGACAGAUGUGGUCAAAUGCCAUUUAAAUCAGUGAUUCUCAACCCAGGAGUUGUCAUGGCACUGGCCUUGAGUGAGCUGGACCAAGGGAAGUGGUAGAAUUCCCCAUGAAGGACCAAGUGAGCAGAUAGAAGUUUCUCCAUUUUAACUUUUUCUGAGUCAAUUUAAAAAACACCUAGUGCCUUUUUCUGU